GACGUAGGGUGCGAGCGUUGUCCGGAUUUAUUGGGCGUAAAGAGCUCGUAGGCGGCUCGUCGCGUCAGCUGUGAAAACCCGCAGCUUAACUGUGGGCUUGCAGCUGAUACGGGCGGGCUAGAGUUCGGUAGGGGAGACUGGAAUUCCUGGUGUAGCGGUGAAAUGCGCAGAUAUCAGGAGGAACACCGGUGGCGAAGGCGGUUCUCUGGGCCUUACCUGACGCUGAGGAGCGAAAGCGUGGGGAGCGAACAGG
rnacentral:rRNA from 1 species